GAACACCUGUUGCCAAGUGACCUGUUCUACACUAAAGCUUCCUGUUAAUUCGGGUGGUUCAACAUUAAACCAAAGAACACAAGUAAAAUAGGAUUUCAAACAUUAGUCAAUACAGCUUCCAAGGUGUCAAACAGGGUUAAAGUGUCCAAACAGCUGUCCUCCAUUGAAGCUCUGCCGGGUCAACAGAGGAGUGGUCAUGGAGAUGUUACUCACCAAGUUUCAGGCUUUUACCAGGGCAAGAGAAGUUACUCACAGUUUCAGGCUUUUACCAGGGUAAUUACACUUAACACAAAUAUAAACACAACAUGUAAAGUGUUGGUCUCAUGUUUCAUGAGUUGAAAUGAAAAUCCCU